rnacentral:rRNA from 1 species
AACGAACGCUGGCGGCAUGCCUAACACAUGCAAGUCGAACGAGGCCUUCGGGUCUAGUGGCGCACGGGUGCGUAACGCGUGGGAACCUGCCCUUAGGUUCGGACUAACUCCCCGACAGGGGUGCUAAUACCGGAUAAUGUCUUCGGCCCAAAGAUUUAUCGCCUUUGGAUGGGCCCGCGUUGGAUUAGCUAGUUGGUAGGGUAAAAGCCUACCAAGGCGACGAUCCAUAGCUGGUCUGAGAGGAUGAUCAGCCACACUGGGACUGAGACACGGCCCAGACUCCUACGGGAGGCAGCAGUGGGGAAUAUUGGACAAUGGGCGAAAGCCUGAUCCAGCAAUGCCGCGUGAGUGAUGAAGGCCUGAGGGUUGUAAAGCUCUUUUACCCGGGAUGAUAAUGACAGUACCGGGAGAAUAAGCUCCGGCUAACUCCGUGC